UCCAGACUCCUACGGGAGGCAGCAGUGAGGAAUAUUGGUCAAUGGGCGAGAGCCUGAACCAGCCAAGUCGCGUGAGGGAAGACGGUCCUAUGGAUUGUAAACCUCUUUUGCCGGGGAGCAAAAAGCGGUACGUGUACCGCAUCGAGAGUACCCGGAGAAAAAGCAUCGGCUAACUCCGUGCCAGCAGCCGCGGUAAUACGGAGGAUGCGAGCGUUAUCCGGAUUUAUUGGGUUUAAAGGGUGCGCAGGCGGAGAGUUAAGUCAGCGGUAAAAUUUGGGGGCUCAACCCCGACAAGCCGUUGAAACUGGCUUGCUAGAGUGGGCGAGAAGUAUGCGGAAUGCGUGGUGUAGCGGUGAAAUGCAUAGAUAUCACGCAGAACUCCGAUUGCGAAGGCAGCAUGCCGGCUCCACACUGACGCUGAGGCACGAAAGCGUGGGUAUCGAACAGGAUUAGAUACCCCCGUAGA
rnacentral:rRNA from 1 species